rnacentral:rRNA from 1 species
ACGGAGGAGCACGAAGGUUGGCUAAUCCUGGUCGGACAUCAGGAGGUUAGUGCAAUGGCAUAAGCCAGCUUGACUGCGAGCGUGACGGCGCGAGCAGGUGCGAAAGCAGGUCAUAGUGAUCCGGUGGUUCUGAAUGGAAGGGCCAUCGCUCAACGGAUAAAAGGUACUCCGGGGAUAACAGGCUGAUACCGCCCAAGAGUUCAUAUCGACGGCGGUGUUUGGCACCUCGAUGUCGGCUCAUCACAUCCUGGGGCUGAAGUAGGUCCCAAGGGUAUGGCUGUUCGCCAUUUAAAGUGGUACGCGAGCUGGGUUUAGAACGUCGUGAGACAGUUCGGUCCCUAUCUGCCGUGGGCGCUGGAGAACUGAGGGGGGCUGCUCCUAGUACGAGAGGACCGGAGUGGACGCAUCACUGGUGUUCGGGUUGUCAUGCCAAUGGCACUGCCCGGUAGCUAAAUGCGGAAGAGAUAAGUGCUGAAAGCAUCUAAGCACGAAACUUGCCCCGAGAUGAGUUCUCCCUGAGACUUAGAGUCUCCUGAAGGAACGUUGAAGACGACGACGUUGAUAGGCCGGGUGUGUAAGCGCAGCGAUGCGUUGAGCUAACCGGUACUAAUGAACCGUGAGGCUUAACCUUACAACGCCGAAG